UUGUGAGUGUUCAGCACAAAUGUGCUUGUUUAUUUUCCCCUCUCCUUGUUGGUAAGGGUUUCUGCUGCUUUACAAAUAUGAGAGGGUUCAUAGCACACACUAAGCCUGAGUCCUCUUAGCUCUGAGUAUAUGUUUUUCCUAGAUAGAGAGUUAGGAUCAGUUUAGUUUCUACUAGCCAAGCAAAGAUUGUUGGGAGGUGGGGGAACGACACCAAUCACAGCACCAGCAGGGCCCUGCUACUCUACAUAAUCCCCAGCCUGCCCGGCGGCUCGGAGGCAACUGUUAAAGCUUUUAGAUACUACCUCAGAGAGUGCUGUGUGUUUGAAGCAUAUGAGUCUUAUCGGGGUGCUUCCAGAGAAUAACUGUCAAUGAGACUGCUAACCAAGGUGCUUUAUGUUAUGGCACUUUUUGUCUGCUUCUGUUGAGAAGAAUAUAGAUGUGAAAUGACCUUUCCCCUAAUCAUUAUCUGUUGUUGUUGUUAGCAUGAACAUGAUACACUUUAAAGUGUUAAGGUAAGUGGUAAAAUAGUUAAAACGCUUUCUAGCUGGGCUUAGAAAUCAUUGUACAAUUUCAAAUUUUCAUCCAUUUUGCUUGCCGUAGAAAACGCCUUUUUGUGAAAUCAUAUGUAUUACUGUAGCUUGUCUUGUCUGUGUUUGUCUACAUCACUUUGCUUGGCCUAUUUCUUGCGUGUAGAUGUCUGCCCACUGUAUAUCUGUAAUUUGUAACUUUUUAAAUGUAGAUUGUCCAACCAAGAUUCCUAACCUCUUCCAAUACUGAUCAAAACUCAAAGUGCAUUUGCUGUCAACAGGAUGUUAACAGGUUUUGAAGCUGAAGCUCUAUUCUCAUUUUAAUUAUUUCAUUUAUUUCACUGAAAAAUGUUGUGAGACUAACUCCCGUAACAACCCCCCCUGCUGUGCCAGCUCCGACUGCCCCUCAGACCCGGUCAACCUCCCAGACAACAGCUGGACCAGUGCAGCAUCCUGCUGGCGCUCCGCAGGUGCUUCUUCUCCCUGAGGGAUAUGGACGCAGACCCUCCCAAAGGAGCAGCAAGAGUAGGUCAGUCAGGCCGUCUUCACAAGGAACAAGCAGCUCAAAUGUGUCCUGAAAAGCCAGCUUGAGCUGUGGUCCUCCCCUCCCCUGCCUCCUAACAUCAGCCUCCAGCUUCUCCCUCCGGCCGUUCUGCCUCUGGAUGCCCUACCGCCUUUUUGGCCUUUAAGUUUGUGUGCACCCAGCCACAGUGCAAGCGCCACAAACUCACAGGCAGUGGGGUGUACAAGACGGCUCGGAGGGGGCUUGACGUAGAUGGCUGGUAUUAUAUGGGGACAGAAUACAUGGAGUGCUGCAUCUGUAAUAGGAAGCUACUAGCAGGAUGGUCGCUGGAGGUCUUGAACCAGCUGGACGCAAGUCAUCGCUUCAAGUUCCCAGCCAUCUUGACUUACAGGCUUUCCUGUGACCUGAAGGUGGUCAGGCUGAUGAGAGAGAGAGGACACUGGGGAACAGUGUGACCAGGCUGUACAACCAGCUGAGGGAGCAGCACAGCCUGGAUGAGUCAGACCCUGGACAACCUGUCUGUCUGUGACCACUUUGUAGUCCCAGGUGCUGCACCACUGAGGGUAACACCUCCUCCUCCCUUUUUGGAUGUGCCCUCAGCUCAGUGGCUGCUGACUGUCCACGGCUACGACGUUCUGUUCCAGCAAGAGGACUUCAAGGCCCGAGUCACCUCCAUCUUUGGGUCUAUCCUGAAGAUGGAUUCAACCAAAAAGGUGAUUUUUUUUAUAUGUUCUUUUGACCAGAAAUAAGACUAGUUAGAGACAAUCAAAUGAAUGAUAACUUAUUAUGACUUAUUUUGUAAUGACUUGUAGUCUUGAAAAUUAGAGGUCGACUGAUUUAUGAUUUUUCAACGCCGAUACCGAUUAUUGGAGGACCAAAAAAAGCCGAUGCCGAUUAAAU